AACAGCAUUCUGUCGAUGUCUGCUUCGCAACGCAGUCGGCAUCGGUCGUCGACGCCUCGCACCACCCGCUGUGCGUUGAGCAAUCAGUUGGAUAGCAGAGCAAUGUGUGAGCGUAGCUCCCUUGCUCCAUUUUUCUACGCAUACAAGGCGAGUACAGUGUAGACCCAAUGAGCAUUCAAACACUUUGCGUAUAGAUGUUAAAUGCCAACAGGUUGUUGGAUAAAACCAGUUGGUCGGAAACGUGAUGCGCUAAUUGCCCACUUUGACAAAUCAGUGCACCGAAAUCGGAAGCAACGAUUCAUUCAAUGAUAAAUUACAAAAGCUGUUUUAAAAUCACACUAUGCCACGUCUACACUCCAAUGUACACCGGUGCCAACAAAAGAAAGGGAAAUUCUCAAUCAAAUCAAAUCAAAUGAAAAUCAAUCGAUCGGAAUCGUUGCAAAAGUGAAUUUUAGCUGAAAGCACGGCGCGCAUUUGAAUGACGGCGCGGCAGUAGCGGGUGCGCAGCUGCAAAUGACCAGGAGGAGCGGUGCGGAAGGGUAGGAUGAGGAUGAGGAAGCAGCAGUGAACACUGUGACACAAGUCAACGAAUAUGUCUAUCUCGGGGCAGGAUGUUGCUCAUAUGUCUAGAACGCUGACUAGCAAAGGCCAAGCACCAGUGUGAGAUAGUUAUCAUCUACUGUACUUUACGGACAGGUGGUUCAUUAACUAGAGGACAAAUUGAACAAAUUUUAAAUUUCUAUAAAGUAUCAAGAUAUGCGACAAUGAAUCUUUUGGGAAAUUUUGUUUACAUACAUAUACCUAUGUAAUAUAC